UACAGAGGGUGCAAGCGUUAAUCGGAAUGACUGGGCGUAAAGGGCACGUAGGCGGCAAGAUGUGUUAUAGGUGAAAUCCCCGGGCUUAACCUGGGAAGGUCCUAUAAAACUGUCUUGCUAGAAUAUAGGAGAGGUAAGUGGAACUCCGAGUGUAGAGGUGAAAUUCGUAGAUAUUCGGAAGAACACCAGUGGCGAAGGCGACUUACUGGUCCAUUACUGACGCUCAUGCACGAAAGCGUGGGGAGCAAACAGG
rnacentral:rRNA from 1 species